AUCAUUGCCAUCAGUUAACAUGGGACACUUGGAGGAAGCACAUUCUGAAGGAGAGGCAUCUACUUCACCAAAGAAAAUCUGUGGCACAAAGAAACCGUCACUGCCAUCAGUUCAAAACGGAAAAUCCAGAAGGCCCUGGUCAAAGACGGAGGGAGAAAUUGUCGAAAGCCAUUUCAAAGACUUCCUGAAAGAAAUGAAGACCCCUGGAAAAGUGCACUGUCAGAGAUGCAUAGAUGGAAAUCAGAUUUUAAGGGAUAAUGACAGAGACUGGAAAGCUGUAAAAUACUUUGUGUACAACAGGAUAACAGCAAAGAGAAACAGGCUCCAAAAGUACUGAAGAUUAUACUGGACAUUUUGAGCUUUAAUGCUAGGAACCAAGGAACACAGUACACAGAUUCAAUUAAAAAAAUUCCUUGUGAAAAUUUGUCAUUUUAGUACUGUAGGACUAAACAUGUUUAAAGCUGUA